AGAGUUUGAUCCUGGCUCAGAUUGAACGCUGGCGGCAGGCCUAACACAUGCAAGUCGAGCGGUAGCACAGAGAGCUUGCUCUCGGGUGACGAGCGGCGGACGGGUGAGUAAUGUCUGGGAAACUGCCUGAUGGAGGGGGAUAACUACUGGAAACGGUAGCUAAUACCGCAUAACGUCGCAAGACCAAAGUGGGGGACCUUCGGGCCUCAUGCCAUCAGAUGUGCCCAGAUGGGAUUAGCUAGUAGGUGGGGUAAUGGCUCACCUAGGCGACGAUCCCUAGCUGGUCUGAGAGGAUGACCAGCCACACUGGAACUGAGACACGGUCCAGACUCCUACGGGAGGCAGCAGUGGGGAAUAUUGCACAAUGGGCGCAAGCCUGAUGCAGCCAUGCCGCGUGUGUGAAGAAGGCCUUCGGGUUGUAAAGCACUUUCAGCGGGGAGGAAGGCGAUAAGGUUAAUAACCUUGUCGAUUGACGUUACCCGCAGAAGAAGCACCGGCUAACUCCGUGCCAGCAGCCGCGGU
rnacentral:rRNA from 1 species